UGAGGAAUAUUGGGCAAUGCCCGCAAGGGUGACCCAGCAACGCCGCGUGGAGGAUGAAUGUCGUAAGAUUGUAAACUCCUGUUAGAGGGGAAGAAUAGUACCGGUUGGACCGGUAUAUGACUGCACCCUCAGAGAAAGCCCCGGCUAACUACGUGCCAGCAGCCGCGGUAAUACGUAGGGGGCAAGCGUUGUCCGGAUUUACUGGGUGUAAAGGGCGCGCAGGCGGGAUAAAAAGUCAGUGGUGAAAUCCUACAGCUUAACUGUAGAACUGCCUUUGAUACUUUUAUUCUUGAGUUCGGGAGAGAGAGACGGAAUUCCAGGUGUAGUGGUGAAAUACGUAGAUAUCUGGAAGAACACCAGUUGCGAAGGCGGUCUCUUGGUCCGACACUGACGCUGAGGCGCGAAAGCGUGGGGAGCAAACA
rnacentral:rRNA from 1 species